rnacentral:sRNA from 1 species
GGCGUGGCUAGGUUUAGCGGCCGAAAAGGAGUUGUCUCACUCCCUGCCACGUCCUCACAUGAGACG